rnacentral:lncRNA from 1 species
UGAGUUAAAUUAAAAUGGCUUAAAAAAAAUUUACCAAAAGCCCAAAAUUGUGGGCUUCAAGAAUGGGCCCUCUUCUCUUUGCUUCUCCUUUUUUUUGUUGGGCUGCUACUUGCGGGCUGCCAGGAAAUGGGCUGAAUCUGUUGGACUAUUGUGCUGGGCCUGCUGAUCGACUGGAGCUGCACGGGUGGGCCACUGCUGGUGGGCUGCUGCUGGUCCACCAAAACUAGCCUGCUGUUUUUUUAUUUUUUUAAUUUUUUUCUUUCUUUUUCUCUUUUUCUUCUAUUUUUUCUUUCUAUUUUUUCUUCUUUUUUUCCCUUUUUCUUUUUUCUUCUUUUUUAGGCCGAACCUUAACCUUCUUGCGCCGGUGAAGCUUCCUCCAUUCGACGGCGCGGUGGUCGGCGCGCCUCCCUUCUCAUCCUCUCUCUUUUUCUUUCUUCUCUUCUUUCUUUUUGGUUGCUAUUUUUUUGCUUGCUGUUUUUGUUUCUUUUUGUUUGUUUUUGCUUGUUGCUUUGCUUGCUUAUGUAGGGGCGACGGUGGUGGUGCUGUCACGGUGACGGUGCGACGGCGGUGGUUGCGAGAGCGCGACGGUGGUGAGGGCCCUUUUGUUGCUCUUUUUUGCUUGAUUUUUUUUGCUGCUGUUUUCUUAGUUUUCUUUCUUCCUUUUAAUCUGCUCACUUUGUCUUCUUUCUCUUUGUUUGCAGGUGGCAGUGGAGCAAUCAUGGCCUAGGGAGGCUGCUGGAGUAGCUCGGCUGCCGAUUGGGUGAUUUGACAAGUCUAGAAGGACCAAAUUGCAUAAGAUGCAAAGCUUCUAGGUCAAAAGUGUAAUUUUAGCAAAAAUAUGGACCAAAAUGUAAUUUCUUGAAAGUUUAGGGGUUAAAAUGAAAUUUUGAGAAACUUUAAGGGUUGAAAUGUAAUUUUAGAAAAUUUUGGGGUCAAAAUGUAAAUUUUAAAAAGGUUUAGGGUCAAAAUGUAAAUUUUAAAAAGUACAGAGGUCAAAAUGCAAUUUUUUUAAUUUUUUUUUAACACGAAAUUAUUCCCGAACAAAAUUCAGUGAUUACAAUGCAUAUUGAAUAAAUAAAAUUAAGCCAUGCAUGGUAUGAGUAACAAGCUAGUG